GGGAUGGAGGAGGAAACAUUGAAGACUGAAUGGAUUCUCCGAUCUCUCCUGUAUUUCAGGUCCCAAGAUCUCCAUCCAGUGAAGAGGUAAUGUUUCUUUCUGUCCAAGUGAAAGGAGCAACCCACGAAUUCAGAAGGCAGACCACAGUGCUGGUUAAAAACCAAGAGAGCCUGGUCUUUGUCCAGACAGACAAACCUAUCUACAAACCAGGACAGACAGUGAAGUUUCGUGUUGUCUCAUUGGAUGAAAAUUUUCACCCCCUGAGUGAGUUGGUGAGUCUCCUUAUAUAUAUAUACAGAA